rnacentral:rRNA from 1 species
CCCCCCACGACUAGGGUCAUUGGAAACUGGAAAACUUGAGUGCAGAAGAGGAAAGUGGAAUUCCAUGUGUAGCGGUGAAAUGCGCAGAGAUAUGGAGGAACACCAGUGGCGAAGGCGACUUUCUGGUCUGUAACUGACGCUGAUGUGCGAAAGCGUGGGGAGCAAACAGGAUUAGAUACCCUGGUAGUCCACGCCGUAAACGAUGUCGACUAGCCGUUGGGAUCCUUGAGAUCUUAGUGGCGCAGCUAACGCAUUAAGUCGACCGCCUGA